rnacentral:rRNA from 1 species
GUGAAUGCUGGCGGCGUGGAUGAGGCAUGCAAGUCGAAUGGGUUUAGACCCAUGGCAGACGAGGUAGGAACACGUAGGUACGUACCGGAGAGUCAGGGAUAACCUGGAGAAAUCCGGAAUAAUACUUGAUGGUCCCGAGAGGGUAAAGAUUUAUCGCUCUCUGAACGGCCUGCGUUCUAUCAGCUUGUUGGUAAGGUAACGGCUUACCAAGGCUACGACGGAUAGGGGAGGUGAGAGCCUGACCCCCACCGAUGGAACUGCGACACGGUCCAUACUCCUACGGGAGGCUGCAGUCGAGAAUCUUCCGCAAUGGACGAAAGUCUGACGGAGCGACGCCGCGUGGUAGAUGAAGUCCUUAGGGACGUAAAUACCUUUUAUGAGGGAAGAAGUUUAUUGACGGUACCUCAUGAAUAAGGGGCUCCCAAUUCUGU